UACGUGAAACCGUUUAGGGGUAAACCUGAGAAACCCGAAAGUUCGAACGAGGAGAUUCAGUGUGUCUCGGUUUGGGUGCGAGUGCCGUUUGGCAGACGGUCGUUGCUUCGGUGGCGAUCGCUCCUUACGUGCGCCGCUGCUCGCCGAACGCAUGCACUUCUCCUCCAGUAGGACGUCGCGACCCGUUGGGUGUCGGUCUGAGGCUUGCAGUGGAGCCCGUUGCGUCGGUUUCGGCCGUUCGCUGCGGACCUGCGGUGUCCCGUCCGACUGCUCGACGGUAGAAUGAAGGCGCAGAGCCGCGACUAGUUCGCGUCCGGCCCGAUGCAAGCGCGGACGGUUACUCGAACAUCGGACUUGUGCCGAUCUCGGGGCCGGUCGACUGUUGGCGUCGGUGCUCCCGGACAGACUCUGUACACGCCUGUCUGCGGCGCUAUAGCUUUGGGUACUUUCAGGACCCGUCUUGAAACACGGACCAAGGAGUCUAGCAUGUGCGCGAGUCAUUGGGACUAUCGAAUCCUACAGGCGUAAUGAAAGUGAAGGCUGAGCUUGCUCGGCUGAGGGAAGACGGGUGACUUUGCGGUCGCCCUGCACUCCCGGGGCGUCUCGUUCUCAUUGCGAGAAGAGGCGCACCUAGAGCGUACAUGCUGGGACCCGAAAGAUGGUGAACUAUGCCUGGUCAGGACGAAGUCAGGGGAAACCCUGAUGGAGGUCCGUAGCGAUUCUGACGUGCAAAUCGAUCGUCGGAACUGGGUAUAGGGGCGAAAGACUAAUCGAACCAUC
rnacentral:rRNA from 1 species